AGAGCGAACGCUGGCGGCAGGCUUAACACAUGCAAGUCGAGCGGGCGUAGCAAUACGUCAGCGGCAGACGGGUGAGUAACGCGUGGGAACAUACCUUUUGGUUCGGAACAACACAGGGAAACUUGUGCUAAUACCGGAUAAGCCCUUACGGGGAAAGAUUUAUCGCCGAAAGAUUGGCCCGCGUCUGAUUAGCUAGUUGGUGAGGUAACGGCUCACCAAGGCGACGAUCAGUAGCUGGUCUGAGAGGAUGAUCAGCCACAUUGGGACUGAGACACGGCCCAAACUCCUACGGGAGGCAGCAGUGGGGAAUAUUGGACAAUGGGCGCAAGCCUGAUCCAGCCAUGCCGCGUGAGUGAUGAAGGCCCUAGGUUGUAAAGCUCUUUUGUGCGGGAAGAUAAUGACGGUACCGCAAGAAUAAGCCCCGGCUAACUUCGCGCCAGCAGCCGC
rnacentral:rRNA from 1 species